CAAUAGCGUAUAUUAAAGCUGUUGCGGUUAAAAAGCUCGUAGUUGGAUUUCUGUCAAGGACAACUGGUCCGCCCCUCGGGUGAGCACAUAGUUUGGACUUGGCAUCUUGUUGGAAACUGUUGCUGCACUUGGUUGUGUGGCGCAGUGUCCAGCACUUUCACUUUGAGGAAAUUGGAGUGUUUCAAGCAGGCACAUGCCUUUGGACACAGUAGCAUGGAAUAAUUAGAUUGGGCUUUUGCUCCAACUUGUCGGUUUCUGGAGCUGAGGUGAGAAUUAAUGGGGAUUGUUGGGGGCAUCCGAAUUUAGCCGUCAGAGGUGAAAUUCUUGGAUCUGCUAAAGACGGACAACUGCGAAAGCGUUUGCCCAGGAUGUUUUCAUUGA
rnacentral:rRNA from 1 species